AACUUACACUUGUGAUUAAUAAAAUUUAAUUUUCAGGUUUCUGAAAACCCGAGCCACUGUAGAGGGUGUGUUAUUAUUUCAAUUAUUUUGAAGGGAUUUACAGUCAGCCAUACUUCUGGUUGUGAUACAGCUGGCACAGCCAGCAUUAAAAAUGCAUAAUAUACGUGUAAACCAGACUGGACAAACUAAGACACAAUUAAUAAAUAAAUACAUUGCAAAACAACCGCAUCCCACUGAUACUUAAGUAGGACACGGCAGCCACGGAACAUAUCGUCCUGCUGUCUGACGCUGCUUUCUGCUUCACAGGGCUUCAUAUUGAUAAGUUCCAUAACGCCCCGGUCACAUGGCACUAACGAAGGAUACCGAAGCCCAAACGAAACAAGAAAUCUGGACUUUUGAGUAUUUUUGUUUAACAUUCAUCUCGCUUUGCUCCCGCAGCUGGCGCUUUGUCAGAAUUUUUAAACUGUUGAAAAAUUUGAACGAAAACUGCCGACAACUUCAAUUCAUCUGUAUUUCAUUUUGCUUUCGUUCUUGACGGUUUCGUAUUGUUUGCUUAGUUUUCGUAACGUUAGCGUUUCGUUUGACAUUUGUCCAACUUCGUUCAAGCUCCCAAGAUCGACAACACGUAAUGAUAUCUGAACAAAUCAAUAACUAAAACUUCGACGA